AGCAGCAAGCCAAGAGGCCAGGGGGUUGCAAUGAUGAUUUUGAAGAACAGAGAGGAAGGAAGAGAAGAAAGCAAGAUAAUUCAGGAGGAAUGAGGAAGAGAGAGACGGAUUGCAAGAAACAUCGUGUUGUGAAAGAGAACUUGGGCUCAUUUGAAAAAUGCUCACUUUGCCGUGGGCCAUUUUCUUCAUUGAAGUGGUGGGGGCUAAGAUGUGAAGUUUGCACCACUGUCUGGCAUACAUACUGCUUUCACUCCAAAGACAAAAGACAAAAGACUUUG